UACGUAGGGUGCGAGCGUUGUCCGGAAUUAUUGGGCGUAAAGGGCUCGUAGGCGGUUUGUCGCGUCGGGAGUGAAAACCUCGGGCUUAACUCGGGGCUUGCUUUCGAUACGGGCAGACUAGAGGUAUGCAGGGGAGAACGGAAUUCCUGGUGUAGCGGUGAAAUGCGCAGAUAUCAGGAAGAACACCCGUGGCGAAGGCGGCUCUCUGGAACGCAACUGACGCUGAGACGCGAAAGCGUGGGGAGCAAACAGG
rnacentral:rRNA from 1 species